GAUGAAGAACGUAGCGAAAUGCGAUAAGUAAUGUGAAUUGCAGAAUUCAGUGAAUCAUCGAAUCUUUGAACGCACCUUGCGCUCCUUGGUAUUCCGAGGAGCAUGCCUGUUUGAGUGUCAUUAAUAUAUCAACCUUCUCUUUUUUGAGUUGUUUGGAUGUGGGGGUUUGCUGGCCUCUUAAAUGAUUCAGCUCCCCUGAAAUGCAUUAGCAGAACAACCUGUUCAUUAGCGUGAUAAUUAUCUAUGCUAUUGAAUGUGAGGGCAGUUCAGCUUUCUAACCGUCCUUGGACAAUUCAUCAUUAAUGUGACCUCAAAUCAGGUAGGACUACCCGCUGAACUUAAGCAUAUCAAUAAGCGGGGA
rnacentral:misc_RNA from 1 species